rfam:Euryarchaeota archaeon RBG_13_57_23 RBG_13_scaffold_10013, whole genome shotgun sequence.
AGCGGGGUGGGGUAGCUUGGAAAUCCCAUCAGGCUCAUAACCUGAAGAUCGCUAGUUCAAAUCUAGCCCCCGCUA